ACCUCGGUCGGUUAGCGCUUUAUACUGUCGAUGAGGUGCAUAACUCCAGCCCAGAACCUGUGUCCGAAUAGAUAGCCUUUAUUGCUCUGUAGUCGCUUUCAUGAUAGCCUAUAGGUAGGCUAAAUAAUGUUAGUAGGCUGUACCGGUGAUUGAUUUUUUAAUGUAUGAAGAAGAUUCCAAAUAGAUUCGUUGUGGUUCCAUUCCAUGUUAAGAUUAUAUUAUCAGUUUAGGUCCUCGUCAUUGUUUUACCUCAUAGCCAUUCUAUCUAGUUUCGUUUGUUUAGAAAUCCGCGUGCAGUUUUAUCUGUUUAAGUGUUUAUCUUGGUUUGGCCAUAAUAACAUACAGUUCCAUCACUGCUUGUGCGUAAUGAUAGAUUUAGAUAGACAACGCUGAGACGGUAAGAGAGUCCACAGCCUCCCGUACCUGAAUGGUAGGCUAUCGGACUCGAUUUAGUGAUUAUAUUCUAGGGCUGUCGAUUUCCGUGACUCGCUGCUGUUUUGUGAACGCUUCACCGCAAGGACAGCGACUAAUAAACCGGACAUUGCCACUUUAAAAACAGCCCCGGGUCAUUCGAAAAGCGCAGGACCAGAUGCUGCAUCGAAGCAUGAAGAAAAGAAAACAGAUGAAUGAAUGAAUUUCGAGAGCAAAAUUGACAGAUAAAACGCGCAUAAACUGACACAGCAAUGAUAUGAUUUAUAAUACAUUGUCACGGGCAGGCUCUCUUCUGAGCGUGAGGGAACAACAGUGUCCGGACUCGCCUGGGCUGUUUGUUGAUUUUGCUGGCAGAGGAGGAUGGGUAUUCAUGGAGACUGUCACAGGAGAGGAGGGUAACGACCAGGGCCUGUUAAGGAGGCAAACAACGUUUUGAAACAGGGAGGUACGAUUUGUACUUGAUCAAUAAGAACACAGGUACAGUUUUUCAGAUGUGAAAUGAUUAGUUAAGGUGUGCCCUCCUUAUCAGGCCCCUGCCCCUGGUAGAGGUGCCAGCUGGGGCACUGGCCUGGGCAUGGUCCCCUCAGACUUAGAGAAACAUUGCAAGGCACCAUGUCACAGCACCAGGGGAGCGUCAGUGGGCAAACCAUAGAAAUAUAACGGAAAGAACAGGCAUCCCCAUUCAAGUCUAUUAUGCCAUAAUAGAGCCUCACAGUGGAAGUGUCAUAACUCUCAUAAAACCUAGCGGUCAAACAGGGAAAUGGUUCCAAUCGUUUUUCCACCAUUCAUUUUUAUCAUAGGGGAUUUUAGAAAUACUUAAUAAUAAGGGCUGUGUUUUGUGUAGGUUUACCCUGGCGUGAUGUUUUGAUAACCAUGUAAAUCUCUCUCGGACAAGGUGACUUUUAUCAAUAUAUUCAGCUCUAUUUACUCUCAGAAUCGAAAGUGCUAAUUAGCAUCAAACUAGACAUCAUGCAAAACUACAAAUCCCUGCAAGCUCCUGCACAUCAUCUCCCGCUGACACCUUUGCUAACAGGUAUUGUGUCAAUUUAAAAGGACAGUUCACAGAAUUGUCUAUUUAAAUAAAUGUAGCCAAUUUAUUAAUUACUAGAUUUAGCUAACAUUAGAUAGUUAAUUCAGAGAUUCUUACCUUUGCCUCAAUUCGGCAGUCUCGCCCAGAUCAUCAUGGCAUUUGUAGUUCUUCAUGAUAGCCAUAUUAGCAGCUAAUUAGCAUUUCAUUGUUGGGGGGUAAAUAAAGGUGAAUAUAUUAAUAUAUCCUACAGAGAUUUACAUGGUUAUUAAAACUUCACCCCAGGGUAAGCCCACAUGAAACACAACCUUUUUCUUAAGGUUUUCUAAAAUUCCCUACGGGAAAAUGGUGGGAAACAAUUGGGACCAUCUCCCUGUUUGACCGCUAGGUUUAAUGGGUAUUAUGACUCAUAGGGUGUGCUUGUAAAUUCCCUCUGGUGUGCCUGAGUGUGCUCAGAGAGCCCUCUGGCCGUUCGGAAAUUCAGAGCAUUUUGCUCUCGGAGCGUUCAGAGCGUACACUGGACGCUCUAGCAGAGGAGUAGGGUUGAUCUGAGCGUUCUGACCUCACAGCGGCAGUCAAGCACCCAAGCUAACUGGCCAACGUUGGCUAGCUUGCUAGCUACUUCCAGAAAACAAAUGAGAGAACACCUCACGCUGACCAUUUUACUCACCCUAGCAGAGUUGAUUAGGCUGUUUUCAUGUUAUCCAGAGCGUUGGUGACUGUUACUGUGCUGCUGGCAACUAUUUAAUUACGCUUUUUUUGCCGACAUCAGCCAUAUUCAACGGGUGUUGUUGAGCGUUUGUAAAUUCAGCAGUUAUUCUGCGUUCUGGCACACUCAGACAAGAGUGCUCUGAAAUUGUGAUAGCCAGAGUGAAUUUAUGAACGCACCCAUAAUUGGCUACUCUAUCGGUGGACCAGCAGGGUUAGGGGUUCCAAGCCCGUUCUAUUGAUUAUUUUUGUAUGGCGAAAACAACCUGAAGAAGAGAGCAGAGCAUGCCUGAGUAUGCCUGCUCAAACACAUUCACAUGGCCAUUGUUUCAGUCUCAGGCUCAGUUUUGGUCCCGUCUAAGGUAAGUGAAUUGCAUUUAAAUAAGACAGUUGCACAAGACAGUUCACAUAAUUGUCGAUUUAAAGAAAUUCAGCCAAUACAAUACAAGCCUUACAUCAAUUAGUCUUGUACUGAUAUUUGAACAUUUUGAAGUUCAUUUGACUCUUGAUCUGAGUGAUACGUUUUAGAGUGUUGUAUUCACGGUCUGCUUUUCCACAAUAAACUGGCAGAA